UACGGAGGAUCCGAGCGUUAUCCGGAUUUAUUGGGUUUAAAGGGUGCGCAGGCGGGAGAUUAAGUCGGCGGUGAAAUUUUGCAGCUCAACUGUAAAAGUGCCUUCGAAACUGGUUCCCUUGAGUGUGGAUGAAGUAGGCGGAAUUUGUGGUGUAGCGGUGAAAUGCAUAGAUAUCACGAGGAACUCCGAUUGCGCAGGCAGCUUACUAAACCACUACUGACGCUCAUGCACGAAGGCGUGGGGAUCAAACAGGAUUAGAUACCCU
rnacentral:rRNA from 1 species